ACUAUUCACUAUUCAGCAAUCACUUACUAGCUUUCAUAGACACACCCAUUUGUUUCAAACACUUUUCUGCUCCCCAUUGAAUCAAGCACUAACAACCAAUGCUCAUAUACCAUGAAUAGCCAAACUACAUAUUAUAACACAAACACUGUUUCUUAUUAUUACUAACUUACAUCGUGAUUAUCAAUUUCAUCCAUCCAAAUCAUAUUAAGUGAGCAAAGUGGCUACACUAACAUAAAUAUAUUUUUCAAUAUAUCAAAAGAUGCAAAAGGACACUCAUUAUGAAACAUCAACUGAAAUGUUCUAUUCAGUAAUGUAAGAGGCUAAAUGAUGUGAUUUAGUAGCCAAAAUUCAAAAACAUGGAAUUAGUAGAACAAUAGACAUUUAGCAAUAGCAGGAAUCAACAGUUCAUUGAAAAUUUAGUGUAUCAUUAAAUCAAUGCAUAUACAUUCUAUAUGAAAUUUGUUUCAAUUAAACUUUAUAAUGUAUCAUCGUGUAAUUGGUUUAAUUUUAUAAAAGAUACAUCAUUACAAUCUAUGGACCUAAAUCUCCACUUUGUUUUUUAAUAUGUUUAUUUAUACAUAUUGAUUUUAAACUAAACCUAAGUUUGUGGCAUAUUAAAAGAAAAAAGGAAACAUUGCAGAGAGAAUACGAGAUAAUACUUAAAACUCAAUUUGGAACCUAAGCUUGCAUGCAAAUUUCAAUUUAGUUCUGAAAUUUCAAUAGUCUCUAUUUAGCAAGGUUCUGAGAACCGGACCGGUCAUCAACCACUCUAGUCACUGGUUCAUUGGUCCAACCGGUGGUUCAACCGGAAAAACUAUUUUAGAAUAAAAUAAUAAAUAAAUUAUAAACAAACAUUCUAAAAUAUAAUUAUAGUCUAAUAUAAAUCUUAAAAUAUCUUCCAAAUUUAAAACACUACAUAAAAUACCAUCAACCAAAUCUAUAUGAUCUUAUCAAAAUACAAACUCAAAACUUUGAAUGGUUUUGAAUAAUUAUUAUUCCUACUACGGUCAAACACAAUAUUUUCAUAAAAAUCCUUAAGAUCGAAAAACCAUAACAACACUACUUUUUUGGUUGGUUUUAGAAAACAAAACUUUAAUCCUCUCAAUACAGUAAUUCCACAUCAGAUUCAAAGCAAGUAAAACCAAAAAAUUCUAAACGUAUAUUCCAAGAAAUGAUGAAAAACCAAACGUGAGACCGGUUUUCACAUAAACCAAAAGUUAGUUGACAGAGUUACAUAAUAUAAAGCUGUCAAAAUUAUUAUAACUAACUACAUACAUCAACUAAUAAGUAAGAACUUUAACCUUUUAGCCCCCCAAAACAAUCAAUUAAAUAUAAUUUACAGUUCAAUGAAGCCCUGUUUGCAUUACAAUUAUUUACAAAUGUUGAGUAAUAAUAACAUGAAAAGGUAGCUACUAGCUAGUGAAGUCGAACAGAGAAGGCAUGGUAGUAGUAUCACUGUAAAUGUUUUAGUACAUCCAGUGGCCACAAAAUCUUACUGGAAUAUGAUGAGUAAUUAUAUAAUUUAACAGCAUGAGAAGAGGAUUGCCACAAAAACUUAAAUUUCAACUUCAAAUAGUAGAACUCCCCAAAAGAGUUGUUACUGACAAAUUUGGUACAAUUUUAUGUACCGAUUCAUCGCCAAACCCCAAUUUUUCCUCUCUCCCAAUUCAAUCCCUUUCCAACUCUCACAUACCCACAAACCAAAGAAAUUCAGUGGGUUUCGUCUGUUCUCAAUGGCUUUGGAACCGAAGGAGUUACCAACUAACAACCCUGGUCUUACUGCUACCCCUGACCCAGCUACUAAGGGUUACUUCAUGCAGCAAACUAUGUUUAGAAUCAAAGACCCCAUAUAUAAAAUGGAUUUGAAUGGCUAGAACUAGAAGAAGUGAAGUGCCACUAACCUUCGACGGAUACACGGACGGCGACCGGCGAGACGACGGCGACCGGCGACACGGCGGCGAGCUGCUCCAAGCCUCGAACAGAGAAGCCAGGCAGGACGGGAACAGGGGGAAGGAGGACGCCGAGCUACAAGACAGGGCCUGGGC